UACGGGGGGAGCAAGCGUUGUUCGGAUUUACUGGGCGUAAAGAGCUCGUAGGCGGUGUGUCACGUCGGCCGUGAAAACCUGCAGCUUAACUGUGGGCGUGCGGGCGAUACGGGCAGACUGGAGUACUGCAGGGGAGACUGGAAUUCCUGGUGUAGCGGUGGAAUGCGCAGAUAUCAGGAGGAACACCGGUGGCGAAGGCGGGUCUCUGGGCAGUAACUGACGCUGAGGAGCGAAAGCGUGGGGAGCGAACAGG
rnacentral:rRNA from 1 species